rnacentral:rRNA from 1 species
ACGGGGGUGCCAACGUUGUUCGGAAUUAUUUGGCGUAAAGCGCUUGUAGGCGGUUUGUUAAAGAUGAUGUGAAAGCCCCGGGCUCAACCCGGGAAGUGCAUUGGAAACUGGCAGACUUGAAUACGGGAGAGGGUAGUGGAAUUCCCGGUGUAGGAGUGAAAUCCGUAGAUAUCAGGAGGAACACCGGUGGCGAAGGCGGCUGCCUGUGCCGAUAUUGACGCUGAGACGCGAAAGCGUGGGGAGCAAACAG